rnacentral:rRNA from 1 species
GCGUGAAUGAAGAAGGCCUUAGGGUUGUAAAGUUCUUUCACCCGCGAAGAUGAUGACGGUAGCGGGAGAAGAAGCCCCGGCUAACUCCGUGCCAGCAGCCGCGGUAAUACGGAGGGGGCAAGCGUUGUUCGGAAUUACUGGGCGUAAAGGGCGCGCAGGCGGUUUCGCCAGUCAGAUGUGAAAGCCCCGGGCUUAACCUGGGAACUGCAUUUGAUACUGCGAGACUAGAGUUCGGGAGAGGGUAGUGGAAUUCCCAGUGUAGAGGUGAAAUUCGU